GAUCAUGGCUCAGGAUGAACGCUGGCGGCGUGCCUAAUACAUGCAAGUCGAACGCUUCACAUAUGUGAAGAGUGGCGAACGGGUGAGUAAUACAUAAGUAACCUGGCCUUUACAGGGGGAUAACUAUUGGAAACGAUAGCUAAGACCGCAUAGGUGUCAUAACCGCAUGGAGAUGAUAUGAAAUAUGCUACGGCAAUAGGGUAGAGGAUGGACUUAUGGCGCA
rnacentral:rRNA from 1 species